rnacentral:rRNA from 1 species
CGUAGGACCCAAGCGUUAUCCGGAUUGACUGGGCGUAAAGAGUUGCGUAGGUGGUUUGUAAAGCGAAUAGUGAAAUCUUGUGGCUUAACCAUAAGGCUAUUAUUCGAACUCACAAACUCGAGAAGAGGAGAGGCAUCUGGAAUUCUUAGUGUAGGGGUAAAAUCCGUAGAUACUAGGAGGAACACCAAUGGCGUAGGCAGGAUGCUGGACUCUUUCUGACACUAAGGCACGAAAGCGUGGGGAGCGAACCGGAUUAGAUACCCGGGUAGUCCACGCCGUAAACUAUGGAUGCUAGCUGUAAGAGGUAUCGACCCCUCUUGUAGCGAAGCUAACGCGUUAAGCAUCCCGCCUGGGGAGUACGGUCGCAAGACUA